rnacentral:rRNA from 1 species
AUAGCGUAUAUUAAAGUUGUUGCGGUUAAAACGCUCGUAGUUGGAUCUGCGGCCUCGACGAACGGUCCCCCGAAAGGGUGGUCACUGUCUCGUCUAGCCUAAAUUCGAGUCGUCCCUAGGUGUUCUUAACCGAAUGCCUUGGGUGACCAGAACGUUUACUUUGAAAAAAUUAGAGUGCUUAAAGCAGGCGAAAUAGCCUGAAUAAAAUGCAUGGAAUAAUGGAAUAUGACCUCGGUUCUAUUUUGUUGGUUUUCGGAACCCGAGGUAAUGAUUAAGAGGAACAGACGGGGGCAUUCGUAUUCCGGCGCUAGAGGUGAAAUUCUUGGACCGCCGGAAGACGGACGACUG